GUUACUUUUACUAGUUGAGAGCAAAUAAGAAACUGCUUCAUGUUAAUUGAUUCACAUUUGCAGGGCUGAAGUGUGACUUGAAGUCUGUCAUGGUUUGACAUGACAGCCUUUUCUGGUAACGGGGAAGGGGCUGUAAAGGAGGCUCCUGUAAGAAGUUGCAACUCUCCCCAGCUCUGAGCCAGAACCACUUCUGAGGCUGAGCCAAUUAGACACCUCCACAAUCACUUUUUAAGAAGACGCCGGAAGGGGACGUUUCUUUCCUCCAUCUUCUUCCUUCUUCUGCCCCUUCUUCCAUUUUCUGGCUGGUGGUGGUGCAAGGAGUGGGAACAGGGAGAGAAACAGCCAUGUGGACUCCAAGGUCAGUGAUGAAAGAGAGGAGGAGGUGUGCUGGAGCAGAGACUCCCCUGCAUUCUAUGGAGGGAACUGGUGAAGCUGAGAUUUAUUUUCAUUUCUUUAAAGACCCCGCAUCAGGGGCAGAGACUCAUUUUGCUAAAGCUGGUCCCAGACCAGGGGCAGCGAUUCACUUCAUUAAAGGCCCCGAGCCAAGGCAGUGAUUUUGGCCAGAGGAGGCCGUGUCCCAAAGGACUGACCCUUUAUCACUAUGGCCGGAGCAGGCCCUGUCCCGAGGAAGGGACCCAAUAUCCACAGCUGCAACUGUGGGGAGGAACCCACGACAAAGCAGCUCGUUAAACUUAUGCCCAGAAGAGGCCUUGUCCCGAGAGAGGGACCCUGCAACUGCAGAAACUGCAGCCGUGGCAAAGAAUCCAUCCCUGAGAUAUUCACCAAGGACUGCGUCCCGUGUGAGGGACCCUGUAUCAGCAGAAGCCGCAGCUAUUGGGAACAACCCACACCAGAGAAGUUUGUUAAGGACUGUGUCCCGGGGGAGGAACCCCGUGUUGGAGCACACGAAGAAUGCCAAGAGUCGUCCUCAUCUGAGAAGACAGAAGCGGCAGAGCCCAUCUGUGAGAGACUGACCACAUCCCCCAUUCCCUGCCCCUCUGAGCCGUUGAGGAGGGAGGAGGUAGAGAUAUCGGGAGCAGUGAGCUGGGCCCGGGAAGAAAGGAGGGAUGAGGGAGGGAGAUCUUAAAGUGCUGAUUGUAAUUUUCUCAUCAUCCUACUCCCUGUUUGCUUUUAUUCCAUUCUGUUUCUUGUAGAAUAAACUUUCCUACUUUCCUCUCUAA